CAACUGCCUCUCAUCUAGAAACAGUCCAGCAAUGGUUCCAACACCAAACUGCCCAACAAUAGGAGGGGAGAAAGGCCAUGGUCAUCACCAUGUGUGGCCUAAAUUACAGAAGAAAUUCAGUGGAAAGGAAAUGCCUACGUAAUUCCUUUACUCUGCUUCUACAGGGAAGAAAACGACCUGAAUGUAUCUUACGAAGACACCAACAAGCGCAAGUUACCACAUUGGCAGCUAUUUUCAUUUUUGUUCCCCAAAUCAAAAUGAAACAAUUGGUAACAAGAAAUUCAAAGUGCAGCAAAGAGGAUAACAAGAAGGUUUUUUUCUGAUGCACCUUUGACCUUUCUAAAAGUUAAUUAUUUUCUCUCAUUCAUAUACUUUUUUGUCUUAAGUUUCUCCCAUGAUUUUAUUCAGGAAAAAAUGAAAGACCUUCCUUGAGGGAGGGAGAUAAAGACUAGCCAAAGAGACGACUGACACCUUCACCAGAGACUGGAUUCCAGUCCAAGAAUUGGCACUCGGCAACCACAAAGUACACUCAAAGUCUAACAUAAAAAUAUUGAAUCAGCUACCAUUUUCUGUUAUCUGGUAGUCGCAUUGCAUGGGCUCCCAGAACUGCAAAAGGCCUAUGGAGUUAUUUCUCUACCAAGAGAGCUUCCGUUGCCCAGACGCUACACAAGCAACUAAGCAGACCACAGACCUGAGAGCAGAAAGGUCUGUGCCCUGCUCAUGGAUGAGCCGGGAGACCAUCGUGCUCACAGUAACGACAACACAGUGACACGCUCGUGCCUCCUGGGUGCCCGGAGCUGUCUCUAAGUGUGGAGACGCCUGUUGAGGAACACCCCACGGCUGCUGAAGGACCAGUACAAGUUCCCCGGGCAGGGAAGUGAGGGUGGUGAGGAAGAAGGCAUUCCAGGUCUGAUGAAGGUCCAUUGCUCGAAGUCCACACCCUGAGUCUAUAAAGGAGAGGGUCCUGGAAAACCGGCUUCCCAAGCUAGCACUUGGUGGAGUGCUAGCCAGGUGGAGCCUCGGCGCCCUGGCAACGUCCCGUGUGUCUGCACAGGGAUCCACAGCACCAUCCUCGCCCCCUGAAACCCAGCUCGCGCUGUGUGGCUCUGGCUUCCGCUACUCCAGUAGCUUCACAGUAGAGAAUUAACAUCCUACCACUUUGCAUUUGCCCAAGGGGACCUUACCCAGCUUUUGACGGCUUCUGUAUUUUAGUAAAGUUUCCUUUGCCUCUUUUCUACUAUUCUCUCAAGGUUUGAGUAUUUAUGGUCUACAUGGUGUUCUAAUGACAUUCUCUUCUACAUCAUCCAAGUCACUCUCAAAACAUUAAACAUCACAGACCUAAGAUUAGCACAAUCCCAUAUGACCCUCAAGUGGGCCCUAAAUCACCCAGGCCUCUCAGCAACUUGACUUUCUACUCAGAAAGGAAUUUGUGAAGAAUGAUUCUUUGAUUAUUUUUGUUCGUUUCAUUAACUUUUGGCCAAGGCUGUUUUUAUUUUUCUGUUAUUAGUAACUCGGAUACAAUCCCUUUUUAACUCCUCAUUUAGUUUUAGUACAAAGCAGUUCAUUAACGCAAAACCAAAUCAAAUGUUUUGACUUCCACUCUUUUAUCUUAAUCAAUGUAACAAAAGUAAAAACAAAAAAUACAAAAUCAUGAACAAAACCUGUAUAGAAAUUCGUUAAAUAAAGAGGAAGGGCGAAGAGAGCUUCUUGAA
ensembl:lncRNA